CACUGUGUUAAUCCAUUUUCUUGACCAGGGCAUUCACACACUCUUGGAUCUGGGCCAGAUGCUGAUGGAGAUGCCUUUCCAACUCAGUAGAUCUCGAAAGAUCAUUCAGAAGAAUAACAUCAAAGCAUACCUUGCAUAGCACUGGGGACCCUUGUCUUUGAGAUAUACUUUGCAUCUCUUAAGAAGUGACAGCUAUGCUCUCUACAAGAACACAGCCCUUGAAAAUGUCCAAACACCAAGACCUACACCACUGGCCAGUGAAAUUACUGCUUAUAUUUGCAUCAAGAAAGAGAAGGUCCACACUGAGCACAAUGAAAAAUGAACUACUCACAACCCUGCAUAAAGAUGAACUUGAUUCGUAA